rnacentral:rRNA from 1 species
UAUUGGACAAUGGGCGAAAGCCUGAUCCAGCAAUGCCGCGUGAGUGAUGAAGGCCUUAGGGUUGUAAAGCUCUUUUACCCGGGAUGAUAAUGACAGUACCGGGAGAAUAAGCUCCGGCUAACUCCGUGCCAGCAGCCGCGGUAAUACGGAGGGAGCUAGCGUUGUUCGGAAUUACUGGGCGUAAAGCGCACGUAGGCGGCUUUGUAAGUUAGAGGUGAAAGCCUGGAGCUCAACUCCAGAAUUGCCUUUGAUACUGCAUCGCUUGAAUCCAGGAGAGGUGAGUGGAAUUCCGAGUGUAGAAGUGAAAUUCGUAGAUAUUCGGAAGAACACCAGUGGCGAAGGCGGCUCACUGGACUGGUAUUGACGCUGAGGUGCGAAA